rnacentral:rRNA from 1 species
GACGAACGCUGGCGGCGUGCCUAAUACAUGCAAGUCGAGCGAAUCAAUAGGAGCUUGCUCCCGAUGGUUAGCGGCGGACGGGUGAGUAACACGUGGGCAACCUGCCUGUAAGACUGGGAUAACACCGGGAAACCGGUGCUAAUACCGGAUAAUCCUUUUCCUCUCGUGAGGAAAAGCUGAAAGUCGGUUUCGGCUGACACUUACAGAUGGGCCCGCGGCGCAUUAGCUAGUUGGUGAGGUAACGGCUCACCAAGGCGACGAUGCGUAGCCGACCUGAGAGGGUGAUCGGCCACACUGGGACUGAGACACGGCCCAGACUCCUACGGGAGGCAGCAGUAGGGAAUCUUCCACAAUGGACGAAAGUCUGAUGGAGCAACGCCGCGUGAGCGAUGAAGGCCUUCGGGUCGUAAAGCUCUGUUGUUAGGGAAGAACAAGUACCGGAGUAACUGCCGGUACCUUGACGGUACCUAACCAGAAAGCCACGGCUAACUACGUGCCAGCCGCCGCAGUAA